rnacentral:rRNA from 1 species
UACGUAGGGGGCAAGCGUUAUCCGGAAUCAUUGGGCGUAAAGAGUACGUAGGUGGUUUUCUAAGCGGGAGGUCUAAGGCUGCGGCUUAACUGCAGUUCGCCUCUCGAACUGGGAGACUUGAGUGCUGGAGAGGAAAGUGGAAUUCCUAGUGUAGCGGUGAAAUGCGUAGAUAUUAGGAGGAACACCAGUGGCGAAGGCGACUUUCUGGACAGUAACUGACACUGAGGUACGAAAGCGUGGGGAGC